rnacentral:rRNA from 1 species
GGGGUGAGUAACGCGUGAGGAACCUGCCUCAAAGAGGGGGACAACAGUUGGAAACGACUGCUAAUACCGCAUAAGCCCACGGGUCGGCAUCGACCAGAGGGAAAAGGAGCAAUCCGCUUUGAGAUGGCCUCGCGUCCGAUUAGCUGGUUGGUGAGGUAAUGGCCCACCAAGGCGACGAUCGGUAGCCGGACUGAGAGGUUGAACGGCCACAUUGGGACUGAGACACGGCCCAGACUCCUACGGGAGGCAGCAGUGGGGAAUAUUGCACAAUGGGGGAAACCCUGAUGCAGCGACGCCGCGUGGAGGAAGAAGGUCUUCGGAUUGUAAACUCCUGUUGUUGAGGAAGAUAAUGACGGUACUCAACAAGGAAGUGACGGCUAACUACGUGCCAGCAGCCGCGGUAAAACGUAGGUCACAAGCGUUGUCCGGAAUUACUGGGUGUAAAGGGAGCGCAGG